rnacentral:rRNA from 1 species
CCUACGGGUGGCAGCAGUGAGGAAUAUUGGUCAAUGGGCGGAAGCCUGAACCAGCCAAGUAGCGUGCAGGAUGACGGCCCUACGGGUUGUAAACUGCUUUUAUACGGGAAUAACGCGCCUUACGCGUAGGGCUUUGCAUGUACCGUAUGAAUAAGGACCGGCUAAUUCCGUGCCAGCAGCCGCGGUAAUACGGAAGGUCCGGGCGUUAUCCGGAUUUAUUGGGUUUAAAGGGUGCGUAGGCCGGAUGGCAAGUUUGCUGUGAAAUGCCCGGGCUCAACCCGGGCCUUGCAGCGUGAACUGGCUGGCUUGAGUCCGCUGAAGGCAGGCGGAAUUCGUGGUGUAGCGGUGAAAUGCUUAGAUAUGACGAAGAACCCCGAUUGCGAAGGCAGCUUGCUGCAGCGGAACUGACGCUGAUGCUCGAAAGCGCGGGUAUCGAACAGGAUUAGAUACCCGAGUAGUC